GACUUCGCGCAUCGAAUCAAGGGAAGCGUGCCGGUGCAGGCAAGAGACCACCGUAAGCGUCGUUGCGACCAAAUAAGCGCCGAUUCACAUCAGCGCGACUACGCUCUCGCUGCCUAAGCGACGGCUAGUCUGUCAGACCGGGAACGCCCUCGGCCCGGACCCUGGCAUCAGCUAGAGGGAUCCACCGAUGAGUCCGGUCGCGGGACUCCUCGGGACAACCACAGCGACUGGGAUCGUCAUCUCGGCUAGUUCGCGUGACCGGGAGAUCCGAGCAGAGGCAUAGCGAACUGCGCACGGAGAAGCCUUGAGGGAAUGCCGUAGG
rnacentral:tmRNA from 24 species